UGCCAGCCGCCGCGGUAAUACGGAGGGUGCGAGCGUUAAUCGGAAUUACUGGGCGUAAAGCGCACGCAGGCGGUUUGUCAAGCUAGAGGUGAAAGCCCCGCGCUCAACGUAGGAAUUGCCUUUAGAACUGGCAGACUAGAGUCUUGGAGAGGGGAGUGGAAUUCCAGGUGUAGCGGUGAAAUGCGUAGAUAUCUGGAGGAACAUCAGAGGCGAAGGCGGCUCCCUGGCCAAAGACUGACGCUCAUGUGCGAAAGUGCGGGUAGCGAACAGGAUUAGAUA
rnacentral:rRNA from 1 species